rnacentral:lncRNA from 1 species
AUGACAAAGGCAGCUUUCACGGGUGGAGAGCAGGUCAGCCGUCCUCAAAACAUCUCGCACACCCUGGUGGGUCCCCAAGUGUCACUCAGCCUGAAGGAAGUUGUCCAUCAAAGCCGGGGAGGCUGUGGGAAUACCUGCAGGGCAGGAGGUGGCAAAAGACCGGUCUCUUUCAUCUUUAUGCCAAGCUCAGAGACUCUCCACAGAGAAGAACUGAACCUGAGAGCUGCCUACCCCCAGAGAGAUCAUUUCAUGAACAUGAAGGAAAUGAAGCCCAGCCUGGUGGAGGAAGCAUGUCUCCCACAAGCAGCUAAUCUGAGUAAGACCUUCAUAAAGGGUACAGUCUUUGAGAUCAAGCAGUGGAAGACCAAAUCACCAACUCUUGGUCUCAUCUCCCUUUCCAAGCAGAGAUGUUGUAUGGCAAAUGAAGGAGAUCAUAAUCCCUUCAGUUGGUAUAUAGACACUACAGAGCAAUAACAGGUCCCAAACUUGAAAUAGGAAGCUGCUUACAGAAGUCAAGAGAUGGUGAUACACGGACCUGCCACGCACCCAACCAUAAAGACCUCCAAAAGCUAAGAAGCUCACUCAUAACCCUUAGCCCUUGGUUGAGCUUACAGUGCCUUUCCCUGAUCUCACAGAUGUUUCCUCAAGGAGGUGAGGUUCAGAAGGGAUGCAAGAGCUUCUUGCUGUACUGGAGUGAAAGGAAAGGCAGUGGCAGAAAACUAGCACUAAUUGAUCCUAAAAAAAGGAGUAGUAAUCACAAUCCAGUCAAAGAAAAAGAUUUGCUUACCUAUCCCAAGGAUCAGAGCCAGCCAAACACUCCAAAGGAGAGAUCCUCAGGUAGAGAUCCUUACCCAGAGGCAGCCAGCCCUCAAAUAAGGCUUAGGAAGGAGGGGAACCAGGUUCCACCCCUUCUGGUUGCAUUGGUGAAUUGCUUUCACCUGUGCUCCCAGAGCUGGCUGUGUUACUCUACCAGGUGCUCAAUCAUUGGUUCAGGCCAUGACUUAGUAAUUCCCAUACAUGGGGUCGAGUCCAAGGACAUAACCUGACCUGGGGCUACCAUGGCUGGAUAUCCAACCUGAACAUCCCCUGGCACAACUUAUGGCCAUUUCCUGAAGAGAGCAAAGGCAGGAAGCACUCAAACCCAGCCUGGCAUUUUUGUGUGUUUUGCCCUGAAGUCUGCAAUCCCAACCCAAGGAUGCUGAAGAAAUGGCUGCACCUGAGCCCUUAUUCCUGAGACCCUGCACCUGAGUGUGCGGAUAUGCAUCUGUGCGUGUGUGCCAUGCACAGAAACUUCUGCAGCAAUGCUAAUGGCAUGGAGAAAAGCCAUUAAAAGGAGGAAGAGUUGAGGUUACAGUAUUGUGCUGAAAACUUUAUUGCUGCCUGUAGAGACAUCAGGUCUGUACUUCCAGGAUUACUCAGUGCUUAGUGCCGAGUGCCUGCACAUUAGUUUUGCCGGGAAGCCCAUUUGGGGUUCUUCCAAAAUGGAAAAAUUAAAGGGCUUCCCUAAUAAAAGUGCUCUCCUAAAAAAAAUAAAUAACUAA